rnacentral:lncRNA from 1 species
CGGGGCUGCGCGGGGCCGGGCUCACCGGGCGGGCUGCGGUGAGUGGGGCCGGCCGAGGGCUCCUCCCCCCGCCCGUGUACGGAGCCCGGGAGCCCGCGCCCGCCCACCCGCCCCGCAGCGGCCGGGCUCCUGGGCCAGCGCGGCGAGGCCUCGGCUGUCCUUGCCGGAAGGUGAGACCGUCGUCCCCCAGGCACGUGGAGGACGGGAGACGUGCCUCCUCUGGAAGAAGCCCCUGCUCUGCCAAAGAAGCCUUCUUCCUCCUUGGGCCUGUGACUGUUUACCUGCUCUCAGAAAAGCAGGUGUCAGGAGGCAGCUGCUGGUUGUGGUCUGUUCUCCCCAGAUACCAGAGCGCCUGGCCUCCUCCACACUGGUGGCCAUUGGCUAACAGGAAGCCAAAACAGAGUCAUGCUCGCCACCCUCAGCCACCUAGCUGGCGAACAAAGAGAGCACAGGAAACACCUGGAGGAGCAGGCAGCUGGCAAGGG